UCUGUUUAGAAUUAAAGGUGACCUUAAUUGUGUUAAUUUCCAUGUGGAGGUGCAAACUGAGAGGAACAGAGAUGACAGUAAACUCAGGUGGGCGAGUGGACCUUUGUAUGGAAUGCCUGAGAGGACAGGAGGACAUGAUAUGCCAAGGAAACAGCCUUUAAAAGCAUUUACUGGAUGUCCUCUACCUGGAGCUGGAUGGCUGCAGUGCUUAUCACUGCCACUCUGAAGAACUUUCAUUUUCCUUGAAGGACCAUACAUCAGUAGUUUUCUUAUCUAUGCAUGCUUGAGUACAAUCCAUGAAGUUUAGAUUGUUUUCAUUUUCAAAGCGCAUAUUUCUUAAGCAUGAAGACUUUGAUGUAAAUUGACAGUGUGACUUUCUUGUGUCCCUUGAAAUCUAUUAUAUUUUUUUGUUUUCUUUGCAUUUAUUUCUAGGUAAUGAUUUGCAGGCAUGAUGAGUCAUAUCUCUUUUUUAUUCUUUCUGUUAUGUAAUCAGUUGUAUUCUAUUUCACUUUGCAGUAAUUCUCAUUGUAAAAGACACAGUAUAAAAUAAAUGACAACCUUAGACAGAUAGGCUGACAGUGUAACCGUGAACACCCCCAGUAAACCACACCAACCCACUGACAAGUGGAACUGAUUUGUAAUAUUUGUACAGUUUAGAGCUUCUUAAUUUUCAAUGUCUUCAGUAAAAUAAUACCAUUAACUAAUUAAGUCACAGUAUACUGUACUAUAAUAUCAGAAGUGCAUCUGUUGACUUGGAUUACUAAAAGUUACCAA